CCUGUCGGUGUAACUGGCAUGUCGCGGCAUGUCCUGUCGGUGGUGAACGGGAUCCCCGGUACUGUUUUAGGCUUAACUGCCGAAGCAUGUACCGUGUGUGUUUCCGUUUGCCGAUCUCUCCUACUCCGGUGCUCUUAAACGAGUGUCGAGGUAGGCCGACACGUUCACUUUGAACAAAUUAGAGUGCUUAAAGCAGGCUGAAAUAUCUGCCUGAAUAGUGGUGCAUGGAAUGAUAAAACAGGACCUCGGUUCUAUUUUGUUGGUUUUAGGAAUAUGAGGUAAUGAUCAAUGUGGACUGGCGGGGGCAUUCGUAUUGCGACGUUAGAGGUGAAAUUCUUGGAUCGUCGCAAGACGCACUAGAGCGAAAGCAUUUGCCAAGUAUGUCUUAAUUGAUCAAGAACGAAAGUUAGAGGUUCGAAGGCGAUCAGAUACCGCCCUAGUUCUAACCAUAAACGAUGCCAGCCAGCGAU
rnacentral:rRNA from 1 species